rnacentral:rRNA from 1 species
CACGUAGGGUGCGAGCGUUGUCCGGAAUUAUUGGGCGUAAAGAGCUCGUAGGCGGUGUGUCGCGUCGGCCGUGAAAACCUGCAGCUUAACUGUGGGCUUGCGGUCGAUACGGGCAUCACUGGAGUUCGGCAGGGGAGACUGGAAUUCCUGGUGUAGCGGUGAAAUGCGCAGAUAUCAGGAAGAACACCCGUGGCGAAGGCGGUUCUCUGGGACGGUACUGACGCUGAGACGCGAAAGCCAGGGGAGCGAACGGG